UACAGAGGGGGCAAGCGUUGUUCGGAAUUACUGGGCGUAAAGGGCGCGUAGGCGGCCUUUCUAAGUCGAACGUGAAAUCCCCGGGCUCAACCCCGGGAACUGCGUCCGAUACUGGAAGGCUUGAAUCCGGGAGAGGGAUGUGGAAUUCCAGGUGUAGCGGUGAAAUGCGUAGAUAUCUGGAGGAACACCGGUGGCGAAGGCGACAUCCUGGACCGGUAUUGACGCUG
rnacentral:rRNA from 1 species